UACAGAGGUGGCAAGCGUUGUUCGGAAUUACUGGGCGUAAAGGGCGCGUAGGCGGUCUUCUAAGUCUUGUGUGAAAUCCCUCGGCUCAACUGAGGAACUGCACGGGAUACUGGAAGACUUGAGUUCGGGAGAGGGAAGCGGAAUUCCGGGUGUAGCGGUGAAAUGCGUAGAUAUCCGGAGGAACACCGGUGGCGAAGGCGGCUUCCUGGACCGAUCACUGACGCUGAGGCGCGAAAGCGUGGGGAGCGAACAGG
rnacentral:rRNA from 1 species